rnacentral:lncRNA from 1 species
GGCAGACAGCGAGGUUCGACCGACGAGAAAUUUAGAGAAAAUCAGAAAAAUAGGGGAUCCGCCCCUUACCUCUUGUUUUUCGAUCAUUGGCUGGUCGUCGGUGGCCAAGACCCAUAGGAAAGGAAGGCUAGGAGUUAAGAGUCCUAUCUUAGGGGUUAGACGCCACAAUCGGCGGUGCCGAUGGUUGGAAAAGAGAGGAAAGGGCUCGAUUGAAACAGAGCAAAACAGGGUUCACCCUUUUCAUGAAUUUUUUGGUGAGCUCGACGGCCGACGAGGGUGCACCGUGCCGUGGAAAGGAAGGGAAGGAAGAGGGGAAAGA